rnacentral:rRNA from 1 species
CAGUAGCCGCGGUAAUACGUAGGGUGCGAGCGUUAAUCGGAAUUACUGGGCGUAAAGCGUGCGCAGGCGGUUAUAUAAGACAGAUGUGAAAUCCCCGGGCUCAACCUGGGACCUGCAUUUGUGACUGUAUAGCUAGAGUACGGUAGAGGGGGAUGGAAUUCCGCGUGUAGCAGUGAAAUGCGUAGAGAUGUGGAGGAACACCGAUGGCGAAGGCAGCCCCCUGGGCCAAUACUGACGCUCAUGCACGAAAGCGUGGGGAGCAAACAGGAUUAGAUACCCCCGUAGUCCCUGUCUCUUAUAC